GAUUCUGUGGCUUAGUUGGUUAAAGCGCCAGUCUAGCGAAUACGAAGACGUGAGUUCGAAUCCCACCAGAACA
rfam:Aedes albopictus isolate Foshan contig67139, whole genome shotgun sequence.